rnacentral:rRNA from 1 species
UACAUGCAAGUCGACGCUUUGUCUUUAAUUGAUCUGACGAGCUUGCUCUGAUUUGAUUUUAUCUGACAAAGAGUGGCGAACGGGUGAGUAACACGUGGGUAACCUACCUCUUAGCAGGGGAUAACAUUUGGAAACAAGUGCUAAUACCGUAUAAUACCAACAACCGCAUGGUUGUUGGUUGAAAGAUGGUUCUGCUAUCACUAAGAGAUGGACCCGCGGUGCAUUAGCUAGUUGGUAAGGUAACGGCUUACCAAGGCAAUGAUGCAUAGCCGAGUUGAGAGACUGAUCGGCCACAAUGGGACUGAGACACGGCCCAUACUCCUACGGGAGGCAGCAGUAGGGAAUCUUCCACAAUGGGCGCAAGCCUGAUGGAGCAACGCCGCGUGUGUGAUGAAGGGUUUCGGCUCGUAAAACACUGUUAUAAGAGAAGAACGGCACUGAGAGUAACUGUUCAGUGUGUGACGGUAUCUUACCAGAAAGGAACGGCUAAAUACGUGCCAGCAGCCGCGGUAAUACGUAUGUUCCAAGCGUUAUCCGGAUUUAUUGGGCGUAAAGCGAGCGCAGACGGUUAUUUAAGUCUGAAGUGAAAGCCCUCAGCUCAACUGAGGAAUGGCUUUGGAAACUGGAUGACUUGAGUGCAGUAGAGGAAAGUGGAACUCCAUGUGUAGCGGUGAAAUGCGUAGAUAUAUGGAAGAACACCAGUGGCGAAGGCGGCUUUCUGGACUGUAACUGACGUUGAGGCUCGAAAGUGUGGGUAGCAAACAGGAUUAGAUACCCUGGUAGUCCACACCGUAAACGAUGAGUGCUA